GGGUGGGACCGGCGCGGCAGAAUCUUUCGAACCCCGCCAGGUCUGAGAAGAAGCAACGGUAAGGAGGACACUCUGGGUGCCGCCGGGUUUCCUGCCCGAA
rnacentral:SRP_RNA from 1 species